rnacentral:rRNA from 1 species
AAUGAACGCUGGCGGCGCGCCUAAUACAUGCAAGUCGAGCGAGAAGCUGUAGCAAUACAGUUGUACAGUGGCGAACGGGUGAGGAAUACAUGGGUGACCUACCCUCGAGUGGGGAAGUAACCAGCCGAAAGGUUGGCUAAUACCGCGUACGCUUCCCACGUCUACGGGUUGGGAAGGAAAGCGAUGCCGUGGGUAUCGCGCUCAAGGUUGGGCUCAUGUCCUAUCAGCUUGUUGGUGGGGUAACGGCUCACCAAGGCAACGACGGGUAGCUGGUCUGAGAGGACGGAUCAGCCACACUGGCACUGCGACACGGGCCAGACUCCUACGGGAGGCAGCAGUAAGGAA